rnacentral:tRNA from 1 species
GACUGCGUAGCUCAGUUGGAAGAGCAUUGGGGCUAGUAUUCCAAAGGUCGUAGGUUCGAAUCCCACCGUGGCCG